UAAUGGCUGGGAACCUGCCCUAAUGUGGGGGAUAANUAUUGGAAACGAUAGCUAAUACCGCAUAAUGUCUUCGGACCAAAGAGGAGGAUCUUCGGACUUCUCGCGUUAGGAUGGGCCCAGUUGGGAUUAGCUAGUAGGUGAGGUAAUGGCUCACCUAGGCGACGAUCCCUAGCUGGUUUGAGAGGAUGAUCAGCCACACUGGAACUGAGACACGGUCCAGACUCCUACGGGAGGCAGCAGUGGGGAAUAUUGCACAAUGGGGGAAACCCUGAUGCAGCCAUGCCGCGUGUAUGAAGAAGGCCUUCGGGUUGUAAAGUACUUUCAGCAGUGAGGAAGGUUACGUAGUUAAUACCUGCGUAGCUUGACGUUAGCUGCAGAAGAAGCACCGGCUAACUCCGUGCCAGCAGCCGCGGUAAUACGGAGGGUGCGAGCGUUAAUCGGAAUUACUGGGCGUAAAGCGCAUGCAGGCGGACUGUUAAGUCAGAUGUGAAAGCCCCGGGCUUAACCUGGGAAUCGCAUUUGAAACUGGCAGUCUAGAGUCUUGUAGAGGGGGGUAGAAUUUCAGGUGUAGCGGUGAAAUGCGUANAGAUCUGAAGGAAUACCGGUGGCGAAGGCGGCCCCCUGGACAAAGACUGACGCUCAGAUGCGAAAGCGUGGGGAGCAAACAGGAUUANAUACCCUGNNANUCCACGCCGUAAACGAUGNCUACUUGG
rnacentral:rRNA from 1 species